rnacentral:misc_RNA from 1 species
UCUCCGUAGGUGAACCUGCGGAGGGAUCAUUACUGAGUGAGGGUUUAACCGCCCGACCUCCAACCCUUUGUGAAUCGUACUCGUUGCUUCGGGGGCGACCCUGCCGGCACUACGUCGCCGGGCGCCCCCGAAGGUCUCCAAACACUGCAUCUUUGCGUCGGAGUUUAAACAAAUUAAACAAAACUUUCAACAACGGAUCUCUUGGUUCUGGCAUCGAUGAAGAACGCAGC